UAUUACAGGAGACAGGGCUAAAGGUGGAAUGGCUGUUUUCAUUGAAGACAGAUGUCACUAGUCUCCUAUACAUCUUACAAUUGCCAUGCAAGCAGUUGCCAUGAAAGUUCUAACGCCACAAUGCAUUCCUUACAUCUUCCACCUGAUGAUACUUUUGGGCACUCCCACACCCAUUCCUCCUUGUGGGGGACUUCAGCGCACACAAUGUGUUGUGGGGCUCAGCUGUCACUUGCUCCAGGAGUCAUAUUAUCCAGUGACUCUUCCAUUCUGAGAAUAUCUACCUUUUGAGUUCAGAUCAGCUGACAACUUUUCCACAGCUAAAGAGAUUUUUAUGGCCUUAGACCUUUGUUUUUGCUCCCCAGCUAUUGCGGACAUGGUUCAGUGGUAAGUGGCUACAGAUUUACAUUCUAGUGACCACUUCCCAGUGUGGAUCCGUCUGCCAGCUCGGAUAGUGGUCAAUAGGAGACCAUGAAGAUGGAUGGUUUAAAGGGCAAAUUGGUUGCUGUACAGUUGACAGGUUAUUUUUUUAACAAAAGGAUUGUGCAUAGGACAUGGUGGCCCAUAUCACUUGUGAGAUCCAAUGGGCUGCAACAAGAGUCCACCCCAAGCCUAGCAAUCACCUCAGAUGACGACCUGUACCUUGGCGGAAUGAUGACUGUUGAUUUGAAGUCAGAGCCAGACGAACAGCUCUACAGAACUUCAAACACCAUCCAACUACAGAAAACCUUCCUGCCUUCAGAUCUGGGAGAGCACAUGGGAGGCAAGAGAUAAAAGAAUGGAAGACAUGUUUCUGGAAGGAAUUCAUGACUUACAUUAAUUGAUCCAUUUCCACUGCACAAUUUUGGGGAUUUCAGACAAGGGCAGUACGCGUCCCCUUACAGCCUUGUUGAGAAAUGGAGUCUUGGCGGAUGCACCUAAGAUAUGGCUCAGGUUUUAGCUGAACACUUUUUUUACAGUCACUAAGUUGCCCAGCCAAGCUCCUAUGUUUCAGGUGUUGUAGCACAGUGGAGAUGAGGAAGCUCCAUUUCUUCUCACAUAAUGUAGUCUACAACCUUCCAUUCUCCAUGUGGGAACUGGAACCAGCUCUGUCAGCAACCAGAGACACUGCUCCAGGACCUGAUGAGAUUCAGUAUGCCAUGCUCUGUCAUCUGUGCCCUGAAGUGAAAGGACAGCGCCUCUCAUUUCAGUCAGAUCUGGUUGAGGACAAUACCCCACUACCUGAAAGGAGGCAAUAUUAAUUUCAUUAUGGAAAUCACGCAAGGGCCUUAGCACCCCUAACAGUUACCGGAGUGAAGCCAUUACCACUUGUAUGGAUAAGACUCUUGAACGCACGGUCAACCACUGCCUCGUCUGGCUGCUAGAAUUCUGAGGUUACGUGAGCCACUCCCAGUGUGGUUUCAGACACUACCAUUCCACCCACGGGAGUGCAAAUGCGACCUCCCACUCCUUUAUCUGCCAUGAUGAAUCUCGAGCUGUGACAUCACCUGGCAGCUACUGCAGUGUGUUUACAACGGUGUCGCUCAGUGUUUCUAUCGAAGGCGUGUAUGUGAGUUCGUGUUACACGUUAGUUUGUAUGUAAUUCUAUAAAUACGUCGUAUUGUGCAGUUGCUGAAUGUCGUAAUAGUGGACGUAAGACUGAAGGCGUAAUUUAUCAUCGUUUUCCAAAAAAUGUUGAACUACAGCGUAAGUGGAUUGUUCGUUGUAAACGAGAGGACAAAAUUAAUGUUAAUAAUGCAAGAGUUUGUUCUGAACAUUUUUGUGAAAGCGAUUACAAACGAGACUUGCAGAAUGAAUUGUUAGGUCUACCUACACGGAAACUGCUACAGGAUAAUGCUGUUCCGUCUCUAAAAAUACCAAACUGGCAUGGAAAUGUAUUCAAAGUUCCAGGUCCCAGGACCGCGAAUGUUACCAGUAGUGUUCUAACAGAGAGAGAACGUUGCUGUGACACCAGAACAGUAAAAAAAGAGCUCUCUCAACGUUGAAAACUUUAUCUCCCAAGAAAAGUAAGCUGGACAAAUCCAGCAACACAGACGUUUUUACUGAUCUGCUAAUUUCACUUAAAGACCAGGAAAUUCAAGCACUGAAGAAAGAAUUGGUUAGUUUGAAGAUUAAAAAUGUUUGACUGGAACAAAGAAUUAAGUCCAUGAAAGAAGUUAUAAAGCAAGCUACAUCUAUAAAACAUAAUGUGUCUCACACUAAGAAGCACAAAUGUGUAUGCUCGGAUGUGAGAAGUACACUUUCUCAGUGUUUCACACCAGGACAAAUUUGUUGUCUGUUAAAGAAGAGGAAGCAAGUAAAGUGGUGCUCAGAGGACAUUGCAAAUGCUCUCACAUUGAGAGCUUUGUCUCCUAAAGCAUAUGCCUACCUGAGGAGGAAGAAUUAUCCUUUUCCCUGCAGGUCAACACUCCAGACAUGGACGAAACAGUUCAAGUGCCAACCAGGUAUUUUGAAACCAGUUUUGGAGAUAAUUAAAGGUAGGUCAGAAAUGUUCACAUCAUUAGAGGCGAUUGGUGUCCUAAGCUUCGACGAGAUGAGCAUUGACGGUCGUGUGACUUACGAUUCGUCCGACAAUGUAGUACUUGGACCACACAACAAUGUCCAAGUCGUCAUGGUUCGCAGCUUGUUUUCAAAAUGGAAGCAGCCAGUGUAUUAUGACUUUGAUGUUGCAAUGUCUAGUGAUUUGUUGCAGAAUGUCAUAAAAGAAGUUGAAACAGCAGGAAUCCGUAUCGUAGCUGUUACGUGUGACAUGGGACCAAAAAAUAUGUACGUGUGGAAGCAACUUGGUGUGUCUACAUCCAAGACAUUCUUUUCAAAUCCUGUUGAUCGUAGCAGAAAAGUCUGGGUUAUUUUUGAUGUUCCACAUUUGCUUAAGUUAUUAAGAAAUCAUUUUCUUGAUGACGGAAUCACUUUGCCUGAUGGUACUGUGAUUACAAAAAUGGUUAUAGAAGAUUUUCUUCGACAUCAGAAAGGCGAUCUUUCGAUCAAUCACCACAUAUCGGAGGUUCAUCUUAAUGUUAGUGGACGUGAUCGUCAGAAUGUCCAAAGGGCUGCACAGAUAUUUUCACGUCGCACUGCCCAAGCUGUGAGAUAUGUUUUGCAUGAAGAUCGCGAAGGAAGCUUCAUUGAGCUCGUGAACGAUGUUUUCGAAGUGCUGAAUUCGAGAUACCCUCAAGAUGAAAAAGCUCCCCUUAGAAGUGAUUACGGGUUUAAUAUCAGAAGUCAGGAAAACUCUCUAAAAAGAUUUCUUGAAAUGUGUUCUAAUAUGCGAGUAGGAAAAAGAAACAGUCUUCUCCCGUUUCAGAAGGGAUUCAUUAUAUCAAUAAAUUCACUUUUUGGACUUUACAAUGAUAUGAAAAAUUCCGGAGCUACUUACAUGUUGACAGCCAGACUUAAUCAAGAUUGUCUGGAAAAUUUCUUUUCCAGAAUCCGUGGCCUUGGUGUCUUCUACAACAAUCCCACUCCUUUCGAGGUAAAAAACAGAAUUCGUUUAUACUGACUGGAAAUGCAAGUGAAACACCUUUGUCUUCUGGUGCUUCAACUUCAGAGGACAGAAAUGAGAAUUCUGCUUCUGAAAACUACCUGACACCAGCUGAUGAAACUGAGGAAGAUUUUGCACGUUUUCUCUCGAGUGAAUUAUGUAUAAGAGUAACUGAUAAAUCAUUUGACGUCGCCACAGAUGACGAAAACUUGCUCUUAGAUUUCGAGCUCAGUGAUUCAGUGUGUACCAGUGAAGACAUGAAUGAUGAUGCUUUAAAAUAUCUAGCAGGAUAUAUAGCAUUCAAGUGCAAAAACGUUGACAGUUCUUUGGGAAAUACAGCAGGGCAGUGUGUUGUUGAUACAGAAUUUAGUCUGAAGCAAGACUGGAUUACUAUUAUUUCAAAAGGGGGCAUCAUUUCUCCCUCUACUGACUGGUUUGCUAAAAUACAUGAGUUUGAAAUUAUAUUUGCUGCUUUUCAUGGAUCAAAUAUUUCUCAUUGUAAUAGAGUGAUGGCAACCUUAGCAGAUCAUGUAAGUGCGAAAUUUCCCAAACUUAAUAGCAAAAUAGUUCAGUUAUACGUCAGAACAAGAACUUUUAUACAGACUAGACAUUUAAUCAAAAGAGCCAAAAUUGAUGCAAUGAAACGGAAUUCGGCAAGGAAGAAUCGGCUCUGGUCAGCGUUGCCUUCAGCAUCUUCGACAUAGCUUCUACAUCAGCUUUGUAAGUGUGGCCUUUUUCCCAAUACACAUGGGUGAUCAUGUGUUUGUUGGUGAACGCUCAGUGGUAAAUGCAGCAAAUGUUGGUUCAUACGUUUACAUCGGCAAAAACUGUGUUAUUGGCAGACGAUGUGUUCUCAAAGACUGCUGC